CUUGGUAGCGCAGCUAACGCGUGAAGUUGACCGCCUGGGGAGUACGGUCGCAAGAUUAAAACUCAAAGGAAUUGACGGGGACUCCGCACAAGCGGUGGAUGAUGGGAUUAAUUCGAUGCAACGCGAAAAACCUUACCUACCCUUGACAUGUCUGGAAUCCCGAAGAGAUUUGGGAGUGCUCGCAAGAGAACCGGAACACAGGUGCUGCAUGGCUGUCGUCAGCUCGUGUCGAGAUGUUGGGUUAAGUCCCGCAACGAGCGCAACCCUUGUCAUUAGUUGCUACGAAAGGGCACUCUAAUGAGACUGCCGGUGACAAACCGGAGGAAGGUGGGGAUGACGUCAAGUCCUCAUGGCUCUUAUGGGUAGGGCUUUCACACGUCAUACAAUGGUCGGGACAGAGGGUCGCCAACCCGCGAGGGGAGCCAAUCCCAGAAACCCGAUCGUAGUCCGGAUCGCAGUCUGCAACUCGACUGCGUGAAGUCGGAAUCGCUAGUAAUCGCGGAUCAGCAUGUCGCGGUGAAUACGUUCCCGGGUCUUGUACACACCGCCCGUCACACCAUGGAGUGGGUUUUACCAGAAGUAGUUAGCCAACUGGUAAGGAGGGCGAUUACCACGGUAGGAUUCAUGAUCAGUGAAGUCGUAACAAGGCAG
rnacentral:misc_RNA from 1 species